AUUCUUAUAUCGGUAAGCUAGAUGUUGGAUGUUAAACCAUGAAACUAUUGUACAAGCAUUCAUAACAAUCUAUACAUUUAUCGCCGUGAUAUGUGUUUGUUGAUUACACCUGACUACACAGAGGAAAAAAUUGGAUCUCAUCUAUCAUUAUCAACAACUUAAAACUUGUGGAUCGACUGAUAAAUCAGAAAUAAUAAUGGAAAAACCAGGUCUGUUUAAAAGAAAAAAGGAAGUAACAAGUGGCACGAUUAAGGGAAUUUCGGGUGGAAAUUUCAGGAAGUUUGACGGAAGCUUUCGACAAGAUACCUCCGAUGCAAUUAAAAAUCCCCCCGACAUCACUUCAAACACCGAAGUGUUUGAUGAUCCGGUCAUAACACUGGAGAGCGAUAUGAGCACUACGAGGGGCGACAAUGCAGAAGAUGCUGAUGAUUUUGUCAAAUAUGCAAAUGAUGGUACAUUUGUAACAUUAUCAGUGUCAUCAGAAAGUUUCAAUUCAAAUAAUAACAAUAAACCCAAUAAACCUCCAAAGAAAAAAGUGAAAGACAAACAAAGACAUUGUGAACAGUCAAAAGUUAGCGAAAGCAGAAGUAACACUACUUGGUUCGUACCAGUUUGUUCGGAGAAAAGUGAAACACAGGCAGAAUGUGUUUAUAUCUGUAGAAUGUGUAAAUCUAAAUCAGAAGUUUCAGAAGUGAAAAAAGCUUGUGUAGAAGCUGACUUAAAGGUUCAUAAUAGUACAGGCAAAGAACAAGACCUAUUGGAUCCAGAUUCAACUGACGAUAUAUCCCCAAAUACAUUGAUUCAAGAGAUGGAAGUUCUUAUAGGUUCAAUACAGAAAUGCUUUAAAAAUGUCAUUGGAAAACAGCAAAGUAGCAAACAGGUCAACAAUAUUCACGAAAAGAUCAAAGAGGCGAUUCUGCAGAUUUACCAAAUCAUGGACAGCAAAGGAAUAGCACAUGAACAACAACCUGAAUACAAGGAUUCCGAAAUAGAAAAGAAAUUUAAAAAUCAGAAAGAGGAGUUAACUGACAUCACUAACCAAAAUGAUGCUUUAAUGAAAACAAAUCAAGAAUUGUCCAAGUUGCGUAUAGAACGUGAAAUCAACAUCAGACAGCUACAGGAUGAAAAAGAAUCCCUCCUAACUCAAGUCGCAAAGCUACAAGAUGAAAAAGAGUCCCUCAUCACUCGAUUAAGUUCGAUUGCGGGGUCUCGUUUGAAAGAUGGAAACCCUAUAAUUGCAGACCUGAGUGAUGACAACAGACCACUCAAAAUAGCAGAAAGAUUCUCUGAGAUCUAUGACAAUGAAUGGACAGAUGCCUUUGACAAUCUUAUCACAGAUAAAAGCGAAAUAGAAAGUAUUCAUAUUUUACUGGACAUUUUGCAGAGCAUAUCUAAAAGUUGUCAGGAAUUAAGCAAAGACCAACUACAGAAUUUGAAACAUUUUGGAAUUCCCUUAGACGCUGAUGAUGAGGUAAACUUAUUUUAUGUAUGUUGCUUUCAUUCUUUUAAGUAAAUAAACAUAGUUUUAUUAUUAACAUUUCAUGUUACACAGGAUCUCUCGAGAGAUCAGGAUACCUAUGAUCGAGAAAGAAAAGCAAAAGAGAUGCAAAUGUUAUGUGGACCACUAUCAGCUGAAUUAGUGCAGAUGAAAUUUCUCAGAAAUCCUGAUUUUUCGACCAAAUUCAGUGAUUAUAUAAUAACAUGUGAAACCUUUAUCACAAAAUGCGUAAAAACCUGUUGGAUGAUGAACAUGCAAGAGGUUCCCAUGUGUCUCAAGUUUGCUUACCAACCAGGCGAUCCAUUCAAAAGGGAGCUGUACAAAGAAUACACCAAGUGUGGAGGUCAAUGUGGUUAUCUGGUUUGGCCCCUUCUCCUGCUCCAUGUUGAUGGACCGGUAUUACAGAAGGGUGUCAUGCAACCGUUGUGAUCAAUUAUUGAUUUUUUAUUAACAUUUGGACAAGCAGAACACAUUUGAAUACAUACACCAUACCUUUCCUGCUAUGUUAUAAUGAAUAAAUUUGUGAUGAAGAAUUUCAUUAAGAAAAAAUAAGAACAUGUUGAUAAUGUAAUUUAAAUGCCGACAAAUCCUGCACACAUUGAGGGGCAACAUUAAACAGAUAUCGCAUUCGACU
rnacentral:misc_RNA from 1 species